CCUACGGGUGGCAGCAGUGAGGAAUAUUGGUCAAUGGACGAGAGUCUGAACCAGCCAAGCCGCGUGAAGGAUGACUGCCCUAUGGGUUGUAAACUUCUUUUAUAAAGGAAUAAAACGAGGCACGUGUGCCUUUUUGCAUGUACUUUAUGAAUAAGGAUCGGCUAACUCCGUGCCAGCAGCCGCGGUAAUACGGAGGAUCCGAGCGUUAUCCGGAUUUAUUGGGUUUAAAGGGAGCGUAGGUGGGUUGUUAAGUCAGUUGGGAAAGUUUGUGGCUCAACCGUAAAAUUGCAAUUGAUACUGGCAGUCUUGAGUACAGGUGAGGUAGGCGGAAUUCGUGGUGUAGCGGUGAAAUGCUUAGAUAUCACGAAGAACCCCGAUUGCGAAGGCAGCUUACUAAACUGUGACUGACAUUGAUGCUCGAAAGUGUGGGUAUCAAACAGGAUUAGAUACCCCGGUAGUC
rnacentral:rRNA from 1 species